rnacentral:tRNA from 1 species
GGGGAUGUGGCUCAGUGGUAGAGUGAUUACCUAGCAUGUGGGCUGCCCUGGGUUCAAUCCCCAGCACCACUA